AUUGAACGCUGGCGGCAGGCUUAACACAUGCAAGUCGAACGAUGACUCUCUAGCUUGCUAGAGAAGAUUAGUGGCGGACGGGUGAGUAACAUUUAGGAAUCUGCCUAGUAGUGGGGGAUAGCUCGGGGAAACUCGAAUUAAUACCGCAUACGACCUACGGGUGAAAGGGGGCGCAAGCUCUUGCUAUUAGAUGAGCCUAAAUCAGAUUAGCUAGUUGGUGGGGUAAAGGCCUACCAAGGCGACGAUCUGUAACUGGUCUGAGAGGAUGAUCAGUCACACCGGAACUGAGACACGGUCCGGACUCCUACGGGAGGCAGCAGUGGGGAAUAUUGGACAAUGGGGGCAACCCUGAUCCAGCCAUGCCGCGUGUGUGAAGAAGGCCUUUUGGUUGUAAAGCACUUUAAGCAGGGAGGAGAGGCUAAUGGUUAAUACCCAUUAGAUUAGACGUUACCUGCAGAAUAAGCACCGGCUAACUCUGUGCCAGCAGCCGCGGUAAUACAGAGGGUGCGAGCGUUAAUCGGAAUUACUGGGCGUAAAGCGAGUGUAGGUGGCUCAUUAAGUCACAUGUGAAAUCCCCGGGCUUAACCUGGGAACUGCAUGUGAUACUGGUGGUGCUAGAAUAUGUGAGAGGGAAGUAGAAUUCCAGGUGUAGCGGUGAAAUGCGUAGAGAUCUGGAGGAAUACCGAUGGCGAAGGCAGCUUCCUGGCAUAAUAUUGACACUGAGAUUCGAAAGCGUGGGUAGCAAACAGGAUUAGAUACCCUGGUAGUCCACGCCGUAAACGAUGUCUACUAGCCGUUGGGGUCCUUGAGACUUUAGUGGCGCAGUUAACGCGAUAAGUAGACCGCCUGGGGAGUACGGCCGCAAGGUUAAAACUCAAAUGAAUUGACGGGGGCCCGCACAAGCGGUGGAGCAUGUGGUUUAAUUCGAUGCAACGCGAAGAACCUUACCUGGUCUUGACAUAGUGAGAAUCUCUCAGAGAUGCGGGAGUGCCUUCGGGAAUUCACAUACAGGUGCUGCAUGGCUGUCGUCAGCUCGUGUCGUGAGAUGUUGGGUUAAGUCCCGCAACGAGCGCAACCCUUUUCCUUAUUUGCCAGCGGGUUAAGCCGGGAACUUUAAGGAUACUGCCAGUGACAAACUGGAGGAAGGCGGGGACGACGUCAAGUCAUCAUGGCCCUUACGACCAGGGCUACACACGUGCUACAAUGGUAGGUACAGAGGGUUGCUACACAGCGAUGUGAUGCUAAUCUCAAAAAGCCUAUCGUAGUCCGGAUUGGAGUCUGCAACUCGACUCCAUGAAGUCGGAAUCGCUAGUAAUCGCAGAUCAGAAUGCUGCGGUGAAUACGUUCCCGGGCCU
rnacentral:rRNA from 1 species